AACCCGUGCUGAGGACAUUUUCGCAGGAGAUCCUUGAACCUAUCCAAUGUCUUAAAAAUAGACUCCAAUUCCAUUUGCACAAUAGAGGAUAUUUCAUUCUCGAGCUU